rnacentral:rRNA from 1 species
CGCCUAAAACAUGCAAGUCGAGUGGGUUUAGACCCACGGCAGACGGCUGCGUACCACAUGGGUACCUACCCCGAACUCAGGAAUAUCCCGCCGAAAGGCGGAGUAAUGCCGGAUAGUCCCGCAAGGGUAAAGCUUUCGCGGUUCGGGAGGGGCCUGUGGCCUAUCAGUUAGUUGGUGAGGUAACGGCUCACCAAGACUAUGACGGGUAGCUGGUCUGAGAGGACGACCAGCCAGAAUGGAACUGAGACACGGUCCAUACUCCUACGGGAGGCAGCAGUUAGGAAUCUUCCGCAAUGGGCGCAAGCCUGACGGAGCGACACCGCGUGAAGGAUUUGCCAUUUUUUGGUGUAAACUUC